GAUGAACGCUAGCUGCAGGCUUAACACAUGCAAGUCGAGGGACCGACGCACGGGCGAGUGACACGUAUCCAACCUACCCUUUACUCGGAGAUAGCCUUUCGAAAGAAAGAUUAAUACCUGAUGAAAAGGAUGGGGAUGCGUUCCAUUAGGUUGUUUGUGAGGUAACGGAUCACCAAGCCUUCGAUGGAUAGGGGUUCUGAGAGGAAGGACCCCCACAUGGGAACUGAGACACGGUCCAAACGCCUACGGGAGGCAGCAGUGAGGAAUAUUGGUCAAUGGGCGUUAGCCUGAACCAGCCAAGUAGCGUGAAGGAUGAAGGCUUAUGGGUCGUAAACUUCUUUUAUAUAAGAAUAUGUAUUAUAUGAAUAAGGAUCGGCUAACUCCGUGCCAGCAGCCGCGGUAAUUC
rnacentral:rRNA from 1 species